CAGUCGCCGCGGUAAUACGAAGGGUGCAAGCGUUACUCGGAAUUACUGGGCGUAAAGCGUGCGUAGGUGGUGGUUUAAGUCCGUUGUGAAAGCCCUGGGCUCAACCUGGGAAUUGCAGUGGAUACUGGGUCACUAGAGUGUGGUAGCGGAUAGUGGAAUUUCCGGUGUAGCAGUGAAAUGCGUAGAGAUCGGAAGGAACAUCUGUGGCGAAGGCGACUAUCUGGGCCAACACUGACACUGAGGCACGAAAGCGUGGGGAGCAAACAGGAUUAGAUACCCCAGUAGUCCCUGUCUCUUAUAC
rnacentral:rRNA from 1 species